UCGAUAUCGCGAUUCGCCCUUAGAGUUUGAUCCUGGCUCAGGAUGAACGCUAGCGGCAGGCCUAACACAUGCAAGUCGGACGGUAACAGGUCCCGCCUUCGGGCGGGACGCUGACGAGUGGCGCACGGGUGCGCAACGCGUAUAGAACCUACCCUGUACAGGGGGAUAGCCCGGAGAAAUCCGGAUUAAUACCCCGUGGUAAUGAGAAUCGGCAUCGGUUUUUAUUUAAAGCUUUCGGGCGGUACGGGAUGGCUAUGCGUCCUAUUAGUUAGUUGGUAAGGUAACGGCUUACCAAGGCUACGAUAGGUAGGGGCCCUGAGAGGGGGAUCCCCCACACUGGUACUGAGACACGGACCAGACUCCUACGGGAGGCAGCAGUGAGGAAUAUUGGACAAUGGGCGGAAGCCUGAUCCAGCCAUGCCGCGUGCAGGAAGACAGCCCUACGGGUUGUAAACUGCUUUUAUACGGGAAGAAUAAUCACGACGAGUCGUGGGAUGACGGUACCGUAAGAAUAAGGACCGGCUAACUCCGUGGCAGCAGCCGCGGUAAUACGGAGGGUCCGAGCGUUAUCCGGAAUUAUUGGGUUUAAAGGGUCCGCAGGCGGGCGAUUUAGUCAGGGGUGAAAUGGUGCGGCUCAACCGUAGCACUGCCCUUGAUACUGGUUGUCUUGAGUUAUGGUGGAGUGGCCGGAAUAUGUAGUGUAGCGGUGAAAUGCAUAGAUAUUACAUAGAACACCGAUCGCGAAGGCAGGUCACUAACCAUUUGACUGACGCUGAUGGACGAAAGCGUGGGGAGCGAACAGGAUUAGAUACCCUGGUAGUCCACGCCGUAAACGAUGGAUACUAGCUGUCCGUCCCACAAUGGUGGGAUGGGUGGCCCAGCGAAAGUGAUAAGUAUCCCACCUGGGGAGUACGUUCGCAAGAAUGAAACUCAAAGGAAUUGACGGGGGCCCGCACAAGCGGUGGAGCAUGUGGUUUAAUUCGAUGAUACGCGAGGAACCUUACCAGGGCUUAAAUGCAGAAUGACAGGUUUAGAGAUAGACUUUUCUUCGGACAUUUUGCAAGGUGCUGCAUGGUUGUCGUCAGCUCGUGCCGUGAGGUGUCAGGUUAAGUCCUAUAACGAGCGCAACCCCUGCCGUCAGUUGCCAGCAAGUAAAGUUGGGGACUCUGACGGGACUGCCGGUGCAAACCGCGAGGAAGGUGGGGACGACGUCAAAUCAUCACGGCCCUUACGUCCUGGGCUACACACGUGCUACAAUGGCCGGUACAGCGAGCAGCCACUCCGCAAGGGGGAGCGAAUCUACAAAACCGGUCACAGUUCGGAUCGGGGUCUGCAACUCGACCCCGUGAAGCUGGAAUCGCUAGUAAUCGGAUAUCAGCCAUGAUCCGGUGAAUACGUUCCCGGGCCUUGUACACACCGCCCGUCAAGCCAUGGAAGCCGGGAGUGCCUGAAGUCCGUCACCGUAAGGAGCGGCCUAGGGCAAAAUCGGUAACUAGGGCUAAGUCGUAACAAGGUAUCCGUAAAGGGCGAAUCGUAAGCU
rnacentral:rRNA from 1 species